CUGCAACGCAACAACCGGGUUAGUCAUCUAACCCACUUAACUCCGUCGCAUACACUAUAUUACGCGACUCAACUCCGCCAUAAGCGGACGUACACCAGUGUAUUAGUUCUAACUCUUAGCGUUGUGUUGUCGGCCGCCAAUACAAACUCCUCGAGCUCAGAAACUAACACCGCUCGGAUCUAUCUCUACCCACAUACUCGAUCCGACCUAAUCGGAUUCUUCCUCUACCGAUAUAGGUUCACAUUUUUCUCACGUACUUAUCACCUUAA
rnacentral:lncRNA from 1 species